rnacentral:misc_RNA from 1 species
AAAGUCGUAACAAGGUUUCCGUAGGUGAACCUGCGGAAGGAUCAUUACCAGGAGGCGGCCUGGCCUUGCGCCAGCGCCCGUUCUCAAACCCAAUGUUUAUUCUCCACGUUGCUUUGGCGGGACGUCGGGCCUCGUGCCCGCCAUCGGUUUCGGCCGGUGAGCGCCCGUCCGAGGACCAACAAAUCGUCGUCACCUGCGGUCGGAGCACAAAUACGAAUAAAGUAAAACUUUCAACAACGGAUCUCUUGGUUCCG